rnacentral:misc_RNA from 1 species
AAGUCGUAACAAGGUUUCCGUAGGUGAACCUGCGGAAGGAUCAUUACCGAGUUAGGGUCUUCCAGGCCCGACCUCCAACCCUGUGUCUAAAUUACCAUGUUGCUUUGGCGGGCCCGCCUCUAGGGGUCGCUGGGGGCCUUACCGCCUCUGGCCAGCGCCCGUCAGUAGCCUUCUUAAAAAUUCUUUAAUAACUGUGUUGUCUGAGUAUAAAUUAAAAUCGUUAAAACUUUCAACAACGGAUCUCUUGGUUCUG